rnacentral:rRNA from 1 species
AGUGAACGCUGGCGGUAGGCCUAACACAUGCAAGUCGAACGGCAGCACAGUAAGAGCUUGCUCUUACGGGUGGCGAGUGGCGGACGGGUGAGGAAUACAUCGGAAUCUACUUUUUCGUGGGGGAUAACGUAGGGAAACUUACGCUAAUACCGCAUACGGCCUACGGGUGAAAUCAGGGGAUCUUCGGACCUUGCGCGAUUGAAUGAGCCGAUGUCGGAUUAGCUAGUUGGCGGGGUAAAGGCCCACCAAGGCGACGAUCCGUAGCUGGUCUGAGAGGAUGAUCAGCCACACUGGAACUGAGACACGGUCCAGACUCCUACGGGAGGCAGCAGUGGGGAAUAUUGGACAAUGGGCGCAAGCCUGAUCCAGCCAUACCGCGUGGGUGAAGAAGGCCUUCGGGUUGUAAAGCCCUUUUGUUGGGAAAGAAAAGCAGCAGGUUAAUACCCCGCUGUUCUGACGUUACCCAAAGAAUAAGCACCGGCUAACUUCGUG